ACGGGAGGCAGCAGUGAGGAAUAUUGGACAAUGGAUGGAAAUCUGAUCCAGCCAUGCCGCGUGAAGGAUAAGGUCCUAUGGAUUGUAAACUUCUUUUGUACGGGAGCAAUAAGGUGUAUGCAUACACCGAUGAGAGUACCGUACGAAUAAGCAUCGGCUAACUCCGUGCCAGCAGCCGCGGUAAUACGGAGGAUGCGAGCGUUAUCCGGAUUUAUUGGGUUUAAAGGGUGCGUAGGCGGAAUGCCAAGUCAGCGGUGAAACGCAGGGGCUCAACCCCCUGACCUGCCGUUGAAACUGGUAAUCUGGAAUGCGGAUGCUGUGGGAGGAAUGUGUGGUGUAGCGGUGAAAUGCAUAGAUAUCACACAGAACACCGAUUGCGAAGGCAUCUCACAAAUCCGUUAUUGACGCUGAGGCACGAAAGUGUGGGGAUCAAACAGGAUUAGAUACCCUGGUA
rnacentral:rRNA from 1 species